CCUGUGUCAGGACAUGUCGCAGGCAGCGUGCGGGAACGACGCGGGCGGACUGAGGGUAACAACAGAACAGAACACAGCGAAGGGAGAAUACCUUUGGAGCCAAUCAGAUGCCUCCCUGAUGGUAUUGCAUGAUGAAGUUCUGGAAGUGAUGAUAUGGACCCCACAGAGCCCUCUCAUCAUCGAGUCUGGGAUUACAUAAAGAGUCAGAAGGACUAGAGCAAGCCUGCUACCACAGAUCUGUGGUUGGUUCUCCAAGAUGUUUGGAACAACCUCCCUGCCGAGUUCCUUCAAAAACUGUGUGCAAGUGUACCUAGAAUUGAUGCUGUUUUGAAAGUAAAGGGUGGCCACACCAAAUAUUGAUUUGAUUUCCCUUCUUUUCAUUCACUGCAUUGUGUUAAAUGAUAAAAAAUAAACUAUUAACACUUC